CCCUAUGGGGUGCAGCAGGCGCGAAACCUCCACAAUACACGAAAGUGUGAUGGGGUUAUCCCGAGUGCCGUCCGAUGAGGGUGGCUUUUACUCGGUGUAAGGAUCCGAGGGAAUAAAGGGGGGGCAAGACUGGUGUCAGCCGCCGCGGUAAUACCAGCCCCCUGAGUGGUAGGGGCGAUUAUUUGGCCUAAAGCGUUCGUAGCCGGCUUAACAAGUCUUUCGUUAAAUUCAACGACUUAAUCGUUGAGCUGCGUAAGAUACUAUUAGGCUAGAGGACGGGAGAGGUCGACGGUAUUCCUGGGGUAGGGGUGAAAUCCUAUAAUCCUAGGAGGACCACCAGUGGCGAAGGCGGUCGACUAGAACGUGCCUGACGGUGAUGGACGAAAGCUAGGGGAGCGAACCGGAUUAGAUACCCGGGUAGUCCUAGAUGUAAACGAUGCGGGCUAGGUGUUGGGGUAGCCAAGAGCUACUUCAGUGCCGCAGAGAAGUCGUUAAGCCCGCCGCCUGGGAAGUACGAUCGCAAGAUUGAAACUUAAAGGAAUUGGCGGGGGAGCACCACAAGGGGUGAAGCCUGCGGUUCAAUUGGAGUCAACGCCGGGAAACUUACCGGGGCUGACAGCAGGGUGAAGGUCAGACUAAAGAUCUUACCAGACAAGCUGAGAGGUGGUGCAUGGCC
rnacentral:rRNA from 1 species